ensembl:snoRNA
GAUCUGUGAUGGAAACAGUCACAUGUGAGCAUCAGAAGACCUUCUAGCCUGCCUGAUGCAUGAUAUCUGUGGUUCUGAAA